GGCGUGGACUCGAUCACCUGGAGCGUCCGCUCCGUCUAGGGUGGCUCCGGGCUGCUCUAGUGUCCCGGGUUCCACCGCCGUUGGUUCCGGCGUGGCUUUGCUUCAGUGGCCUGUCUCGCACCCUUACAGCCCGAAGAAGCCACUGAGAUAGCUGCCAAACCUCCAAAACUGAAAUGACCAAGAAAGAUGACUGACGCUGCAGUACCAUCGCAAUAAAACGCCAGCAGCGUUCCCAUGGAAACUGUAGGAGUGAGAAAUGGAUAAAUAUGAUGGGGAAAAUCAAGUCCAAAUCUGUGUGGCUGGUUCACUUACCAAGCAUUCUCUGAAGAAACAGUGGAAGAACAUGAAUAUUACUCCCCUUCACGUGGAAGUAAACUUUGUGUGAAACACAUGAAAACAACUUACCCAACUCAGCAAGGCUAGACAACUUUUCUAAAACCUGAAGCUCAUAAAAUUUGGGGAAAUUUUUUGAAGAAAAAUAAUGCAAAUCUAGAACUACAAACUCGGGGUGGAAAUAGACUUCAGAGUGCGUGAGAAGCCCUGGGUUAACAGCACACCUCUAGAGACAAAACAACAAUAAAGAUGCGAGAACACAAAAGGGGGGCCGUGACAGUAAACAGGCCUUGAAAUGUCAUUAGCUUCAUGAAAAACUCACUUCUACUAAUUUCAAGUACAUCUGUCAUCUCUACUAUCAUUAUAAUAAUGGCAUAGGACAAUUACAUACUG